UGACCCACGGCCCAAGCAAGUUGCAAUCUUUGCAGCUCCCGUCUCCCACAUCCUUAUCUUUGUCAGCCGGAGCGAGGCGCUGUCUUCCUCUUCCUUCGUCUGUAUAUAUUACAUACAUACAGAGAGAGAGAGAGAAAGGGGGGAAUUUGUCGGUUUGCGUAAAAAGCCGAUUCAAUACAAGUUAAUCAAUCUCCCUCAUUCUCCUUCGUCUCUAUUUCUUUCUCUCUUGUAUGGCUUCUCCAUCGCAAGCAAUUCUUCUUCUCCAAAAACAGCUAAAAGAUCUCUGUAAAAACCCCGUCGAUGGCUUCUCCGCCGGGUUGGUUGAUGAAAGCAACUUGUUCGAAUGGAGCGUCACCAUUAUAGGCCCGCCCGAUACAUUAUAUGAGGGAGGAUUCUUCAAUGCAAUCAUGUCUUUCCCAUCCAACUACCCAAACAGCCCUCCAACUGUGAGGUUUACCUCAGAGAUAUGGCAUCCUAAUGUUUACCCUGAUGGAAAAGUUUGCAUUUCAAUUCUUCAUCCCCCUGGUGAUGAUCCAAAUGGCUAUGAACUUGCAAGUGAGCGUUGGUCUCCAGUUCAUACGGUUGAGAGCAUAGUUUUGAGCAUCAUAUCAAUGCUUUCAAGUCCUAAUGAUGAGUCACCUGCAAAUGUGGAGGCCGCUAUUGAUGAGAGACGAGCAAGAAGACGGUAGCCGGAUGUUCGCCGGAAAGCGCAUGUGCCGGCACACACAGGCAAGUUUCAGGCCCAUGCAGGUACUUGCUCAAAUUUGUGACAUCAAGUUUGUGUUUCAUUUAUUUAAUUCUAAUGAACACUUCAAACCCCAUGGACAAAAGAGCCACCUUCCAGGUUUUAUCAAGUUCCAUCAAUAUAAAAAGAAUGGAGAGAUAGAAAGGAUGAAUUUAAGAAGAAAGUCAGCCGCUGUGUGAGAAAGUCACAAGAGAUGUUGUAAAAACUACCUGCAUUGCUUUUUGCUUGACUGCUUAUGCCAGAAGGGAUAUGGUUUGAAGGUGUGCAACAGACUGGCCUGCCCGUCGGGACUAUUUAUUGCCUUACAGCUAGCUCUCUAUGUGGAAUUCCAUGAAGUUUUUCAUAGUUAUGGUCUUUUUGGACAUACAAAUUCCAUAUGAUCGUGGAAAAUGCAUUUGACUUGACACUAGACUAUUCUAGUUAUGUUGAUUUUAUAUGGAAUUUUGGGGUUUUGUGCGUCGUGUUUUUGCUAGCCUGCUUGUAGAAAAUGUUACAGGAAACACUGGAAAAAUUGUCUUUAUUUAGAUGGUCCAUAACUUCCUUCGCCA